AUAUCAGUAAGCGGAGGAAAAGAAACUAACAAGGAUUCCCCUAGUAACUGCGAGUGAAGCGGGAAAAGCUCAAAUUUGAAAUCUGGCGGUUCUGAACCGUCCGAGUUGUAAUCUAGAGAAGUGUUACCUGUGCUGGACCAUCACAGAGGGUGAGAAUCCCGUUUGGAUGCACGACGUCUGUGUAUACGAGGCACUCUCUAAGAGUCGAGUUGUUUGGGAAUGCAGCUCAAAAUGGGUGGUAAACUUCAUCCAAGGCUAAAUAUUGGCAAGAGACCGAUAGCGCACAAGUA
rnacentral:rRNA from 1 species